GAUGAACGCUGGCGGCGUGCCUAAUACAUGCGAGUCGAGCGAACAGAUGAGGAGCUUGCUCCUCUGACGUUAGCGGCGGACGGGUGAGUAACACGUGGAUAACCUACCUAUAAGACUGGGAUAACUUCGGGAAACCGGAGCUAAUACCGGAUAAUAUAUUGAACCGCAUGGUUCAAUAGUGAAGGACGGUUAUGCUGUCACUUAUAGAUGGAUCCGCGCCGCAUUAGCUAGUUGGUAAGGUAACGGCUUACCAAGGCAACGAUGCGUAGCCGACCUGAGAGGGUGAUCGGCCACACUGGAACUGAGACACGGUCCAGACUCCUACGGGAGGCAGCAGUAGGGAAUCUUCCGCAAUGGGCGAAAGCCUGACGGAGCAACGCCGCGUGAGUGAUGAAGGUCUUCGGAUCGUAAAACUCUGUUACUAGGGAAGAACAAAUGUGUAAGUAACUAUGCACGUCUUGACGGUACCUAAUCAGAAAGCCACGGCUAACUACGUG
rnacentral:rRNA from 1 species